AUUGUCAACACUUUUUCAGGAUUUUUUUAAAAAGUGCUCUCUAGACCCAGUGAGGAGCUCAAAUUCAGAACCCGGAGACCUCUCCGUCACAGGCUCCAUCGACCGAGCCAGCCAGAUGCCCCAAUUUCAGUGAGUUUUAGUCCAUUCUUGUUGCCUCAUUUUAGUGUGGAGCUCUCCCUUUUAUUUUGGUUGUUAUUCAUGAAUUACUCCUAGUUAUAGUUUCUCAAAAACUGGUUAUAUUAAAUCACCUGAUGUGUCUGUGCACAUUUUCCAGGAUGUGUGUACCUCGACAGGAGACAACGCUGCGUUCGGCCAGCGUCUCUGAACCCAAGUGCACUUCCUGCUGGAACCGAGGCCCUGAGCGGAGAUUACGGCGCUCCUGCAAUUUCAUCCUCUCUCGCGCUCCGAUCAGAUAUGUCGAGCAUUGACAGCAAAUUUGAACACAUGUUUCUCCUGUAGAUUUUGACAGAGUGCUGUUAUUUCCUGUAUAGGAACAGUCCAAUUUCCUGCUCACCGUUCGGGUUUUUCGUGCCUGGGCCGCAGGAUAAAAUCUCCUGGCCACCCUGAGUGUGGUUUGAACCCUGGAGAUGUCUGAUGAAGGAUGUGAUUGGAUCCAUUCUUUCCACCCCAAACUUAAUGUCGAAAUGAUUACUCAUCUCUGUUCAUAAAGCUGAUAUUGCAUGCCGAGGCUGGAAAUACAGAAAUCUAAUUAAAACCUCCGCCACCGAGCAGGGCCGGCUAACAAAGCGCCAACGCUCCAAGCCUCUUUGUCCAUCGACGACCACGUCAUGCUGCACGGUGCUUGGUAUUCUGGCCAGAGCCCGGGAGCACGAGCCUCAUCCCACAGCCGAGGAGAGGAAGCCUUUGCAGUGACGUAAGACCAAGACAGCGCAGUGCGGCCACCACCCGUGUGGUGCCCCUGCACGCAGGGACCUCCAGUCCUCCGAAGACCGACCCACUGUUCUCGGGGCACCUGCUGCAGGAAAGGGCAAGGACUGCAGAUGUUUGGUUAUUAACAUGGAUUUCCGCUUGUGUCUGUGAAAGGAAGCUCUUCUGUGUGGCUUGCGUUCCUAGAAAAAUGAAAACCAUUACCAUCGUGGAGUUCACAAGGAGCUCACAAUCGUCUGGUAGGGAGUCUGAUAGUUUUGGUUGUGAAAUAAAUCUCACCUGCAUUAUAACCCAGCAGAAUGGAUCCCAUGCCCGCUUCCUGGGAAGGGAACCCACAAACUGAAACAGGCCUCUGCAGCAGAGCUGUGAAUGCAGGGUGGGAACGGGGGUUUUAUUUUUUAUUUUUUAUUUUUUUUGCCCCCCCCCCCCCCACCCNCCCCCCCGGGAACGGGGGUUUUAGAAGCGUCAUGCUGGGACGCAUCAUGUCAAAUGUCCCCUCUGCAGAUUGACCACCGAGGAAUGUUUCCAGGUGCCAAAGACUUGGAACAGAUGCCCGGUGACUGAGCCAGGACAGACCACAUGCCGGGACACUGAGGACCUGGAGGAGGACUCACGAGGGGGGAGGGAGGAGGAUGGGUUCACUGAGGAGCAGCCUGCGGGCUUCCGAGGUAGUGGGUUCUGUGCCAUUUUGAUGACAAAAAAAAGCACUUGUUGGUGUUUUUUUUUUUUUUUUUUAAAUAUUGUUAUUUGAAAAUCUCAGUAGAAAAUAAAGGCAGUGGAAAGCAGGCUCUAGUUGUUCA
rnacentral:lncRNA from 1 species